AGGGGAUUGGUAUAGUGGUAGUACAGCAGUCUCCAAAACUGUUAGUGGGAGUUCGAUUCUCUCAUCCCCUG
rnacentral:tRNA from 1 species